AGUGAACGCUGGCGGUAGGCCUAACACAUGCCAGUCGAACGGCAGCACAGUAAGAGCUUGCUCUUACGGGUGGCGAGUGGCGGACGGGUGAGGAAUACAUCGGAAUCUACUUUUUCGUGGGGGAUAACGUAGGGAAACUUACGCUAAUACCGCAUACAACCUACGGGUGAAAGCAGGGGAUCUUCGGACCUUGCGCGAUUGAAUGAGCCGAUGUCGGAUUAGCUAGUUGGCGGGGUAAAGGCCCACCAAGGCGACGAUCCGUAGCUGGUCUGAGAGGAUGAUCAGCCACACUGGAACUGAGACACGGUCCAGACUCCUACGGGAGGCAGCAGUGGGGAAUAUUGGACAAUGGGCGCAAGCCUGAUCCAGCCAUACCGCGUGGGUGAAGAAGGCCUUCGGGUUGUAAAGCCCUUUUGUUGGGAAAGAAAAGCAGCAGGUUAAUACCCCGCUGUUCUGACGGUACCCAAAGAAUAAGCACCGGCUAACUUCGU
rnacentral:rRNA from 1 species